CAUGGCUCAGGAUGAACGCUAGCGGCAGGCCUAACACAUGCAAGUCGAGGGAGAAGCCUUCGGGCUGAAACCGGCGUACGGGUGCGUAACGCGUAUACAAUCUGCCUUUCACAUAGGGAUAGCCCGAAGAAAUUUGGAUUAAUACCUAAUGGCAUAUAGGGGUGGCAUCGUCUUUAUAUUAAAGCUGAGGCGGUGAAAGAUGAGUAUGCGUUCUAUUAGCUAGUUGGAGAGGUAACGGCUCCCCAAGGCGACGAUAGAUAGGGGUUCUGAGAGGGAUAUCCCCCACACUGGUACUGAGAUACGGACCAGACUCCUACGG
rnacentral:rRNA from 1 species